UACAGAGGUGGCAAGCGUUGUUCGGAAUUACUGGGCGUAAAGGGCGCGUAGGCGGCCUUCUAAGUCAGACGUGAAAUCCCCCGGCUUAACCUGGGAACUGCGUCUGAUACUGGGAGGCUAGAGUAUGGGAGAGGGAUGUAGAAUUCCAGGUGUAGCGGUGAAAUGCGUAGAUAUCGGGAGGAACACCAGUGGCGAAGGCGGUUCUCUGGGACGGUACUGACGCUGAGACGCGAAAGCGUGGGGAGCGAACAGG
rnacentral:rRNA from 1 species